rnacentral:rRNA from 1 species
CCUACGGGAGGCAGCAGUGGGGAAUAUUGCACAAUGGGGGAAACCCUGAUGCAGCGACGCCGCGUGAGUGAAGAAGUAAUUCGUUAUGUAAAGCUCUAUCAGCAGGGAAGAAAAUGACGGUACCUGAGUAAGAAGCCCCGGCUAACUACGUGCCAGCAGCCGCGGUAAUACGUAGGGGGCAAGCGUUAUCCGGAUUUACUGGGUGUAAAGGGAGCGUAGACGGCAGUGCAAGUCUGGAGUGAAAGGCGGGGGCUCAACCCCCGGACUGCUCUGGAAACUGUACGGCUGGAGUGCAGGAGAGGUAAGUGGAAUUCCUAGUGUAGCGGUGAAAUGCGUAGAUAUUAGGAGGAACACCGGCGGCGAAGGCGGCCUGCUGGACCGUAACUGACGUUGAGGCUCGAAAGCGUGGGGAGCAAACAGGAUUAGAUACCCUUGUAGUC